AUUGAACGCUGGCGGCAGGCCUAACACAUGCAAGUCGAACGGUGACAGGAAGCAGCUUGCUGCUUCGCUGACGAGUGGCGGACGGGUGAGUAAUGUCUGGGAAACUGCCUGAUGGAGGGGGAUAACUACUGGAAACGGUAGCUAAUACCGCAUAACGUCGCAAGACCAAAGAGGGGGACCUUCGGGCCUCUUGCCAUCGGAUGUGCCCAGAUGGGAUUAGCUAGUAGGUGGGGUAACGGCUCACCUAGGCGACGAUCCCUAGCUGGUCUGAGAGGAUGACCAGCCACACUGGAACUGAGACACGGUCCAGACUCCUACGGGAGGCAGCAGUGGGGAAUAUUGCACAAUAGGCGCAAGCCUGAUGCAGCCAUGCCGCGUGUAUGAAGAAGGCCUUCGGGUUGUAAAGUACUUUCAGCGGGGAGGAAGGGAGUAAAGUUAAUACCUUUGCUCAUUGACGUUACCCGCAGAAGAAGCACCGGCUAACUCCGUG
rnacentral:rRNA from 1 species